GCCUACGGGGGGCAGCAGUAGGGAAUUUUCGUCAAUGGGCGCAAGCCUGAACGAGCAAUGCCGCGUGAACGAGGAAGGUCUUCGGAUCGUAAAGUUCUGUUGAAGGGGAAAAAGAGCGGAGAGAGGAAAUGGUCUCCGAUUGAUAUUACCCUUCGAGGAAGUCACGGCUAACUACGUGCCAGCAGCCGCGGUAAUACGUAGGUGGCGAGCGUUAUCCGGAAUGAUUGGGCGUAAAGGAUGCGUAGGCGGCCUGCUAAGUCUGGAGUGAAAGGUACCGGCUCAACCGGUACAGGCUCUGGAAACUG
rnacentral:rRNA from 1 species